rnacentral:rRNA from 1 species
GUCCACGCCGUAAACGAUGCCGACUCGGUAUCCGUGAGGCGAAUAGCCUCGGGGUGCCCAGCUCACGCGGUAAGUCGGCCGCCUGGGGACUACGAGCGCAAGCUUAAAACUCAAAGGAAUUGACGGGGGCCCGCACAAGCAGCGGAGCGUGUGGUUUAAUUCGACGCAACGCGCAGAACCUUACCUAGCCUUGACUUGCAGCUGCAAGGUGGUGAAAGCCACUCGCCUUCGAGGGUGCUGCACGGUGCUGCAUGGCUGUCGU